GGACUCUCAUUUACUCCAGACUAGCCUCAUCUUCUUCUCUUGGAAAGUUUGGGAGGUAGUUUACCUCAGCUUUUCGUGCUCUUUUUAUGUUGGAGGGUGAUACUUCUGGGUUGUUGAUACUCCUCCUACCAGUGUUCACGGACACCUCCACGCAUCCGCUCUGGCUAGCUUGGUGCGGUAAUUUCCCAUGUAAAAUUUUAAACUGGUCUUCCAACCAUAACGUCCAUUCCUACUUCCAGGCUCAUUAAAGAGCAAGUAACGUCUAAAUUAACUUUUUUUUUUCUGAUGAACUGUAUAAAUGAGUGUCUAAUAGUGUUUUAAAUGUGUGUAUUCAUUUUUUUAGCAUUUUGGUACAUUUUCUUUAAAAAUUCUGCCUAAAUACCACAGUAUAGCGCCACCUUCAGCUUAAAACAUAGAACUUGACUCAUUUUGAAUAAAUUUUAGCCAAUGGCUAAAGAGUAAGAUACUAUGUAACCCAGUAGAGUACUACGUAGCAGCUCUGUGUCAAAGUUAUAAAAGCAACGAGCGUCUCGGCCACGCCUUGUGGCCCGUUGGGAGUUGGAUUUGCAAGUGCUCGUAGGAGGUUAGCCGUAGUUCAGCAUUAGCAUAUAGCAUUAGCAUAUCCUAGUCUUUAGCGUAGCCUUUAGUGUUAUACAUACUUAUUUAGAGUUAGCUUGGCUGUUGGAUAGUAGUUUAGUUAGUGUUUGGCUGUUAGUGUUAUUAGGAAAGUAGUUCAGGUUUAGUGCUCCAUAUCGUGGUAGUAUGCUGUGAGAAGGUGUAGUGUAGUAUGGUUGCGGUGGCUCUGUGGGGUUGUACUCCUUUCCGCUGGACUUAGAAAUUAGGCGCCAGUGGUUGUGUGUUUGGAAAACAUUCAGCUCCCGCCUGGUGCUGUAGUUUGCAACCAGCAUUUUACCCGCGAUUCUGGUCUCCGUUUGAAGAGGGAGGCUGUGCCCACCGUGGCUCUUCCGCGAUUUAGAUGCAGCCCACCGACUCUGCUCCCCCACCAUGACGGGCUCCAAUCUGAGGUGAGUAAGCUAAAUAGAAGUUAACAUCUUCUAAAGACAAUUUCCUACCUAAAUGCAAAGUUUGCGAGACGUGGUUCACUCCAUUUAGCUAAUAUCAGCCUGCACUGCCUUCGGGCAGAUUUGUCAAGUUCACAAAAUGUGGAACGGGAUGUAAGGUUAGAAUCAGUGGCGAAUCGGAACAUAUCUCGAAGCCCUGGCCGACAAAACGGUCCACAAGACUGUCAGGCUCAGAGAAAAUUUGGGUUGUUUUUGUGUCAGUCGGUAAUUCUGCAACAGUGACUCUAACUAACGCAGCACUAGUUGACAGACAUCAUUACAGCGUGAAAUCCAGCACAGCGUGACCCGGUUCCGUGAGGAAUUCUUUUCAGGAGGUCACAUUUCAGGCUCUCCACAUCAUAUGUGACUGACUUUUACGUUAUAAUAACGUUCACACACUAGGAAUGUUAUAAAGCACCUACAUAGGACAGUUUCUUUUGUAUAGUAUCUGACUUUAUAAACAACAAUGUGCUUCUAUUUUUUUUUCAGGCUAAAUCUACCCAAGACACUGGCUGUCAGACUGAUUUAGUAAUCUGCAAGAAUGCACUUGUCCAGGCUGACGUGAAGCGUUACCCGUAGCAAAGGUGAAUUAUUUUUAAUAAUCUUCUAUGUAAACAUUUUAUUACCUUCUAGUUUUAAUUUGUUUUACAGAUUGUUGCACAUGAUUUUAUGCUCUUUUAAACGUUUAUAAAUGUGCUGCUUCUUUGUUUUUUAUAGAGCUCACAGCCGCUGUGUGUCUUGUGACACAGGGACCAUGACGGAAAUUCAUCUUCCAGAAAGUCCCAGAGCAGCGUCCACACCCCUGAAAAGACCAAGAUGUGAGGUGUCUGCUGUUGAUUCCAGCUUCCACCUCAGUGACAGUGCAAGCUCAGUGAACUGUUCAAGGACACUCAGCAAAAUAUGGACUCUACACCAUGAGGCAGGCACACGUUAAUAACUCUAUAAGAGCACAUAAGCCUGGCUGAUCACCUGAUAACUCCUGUCAUCUGGUUAUGACAGCAUGAGGAUGUCCUCACACACCUGUAACCUAUCAGCUCAUCUGGCAGAAUAGAGAGAGAAGAGACACCACCACAUCUCCUGUUCCUGGAAAGCCUUCAGCCAUCCUUCAAUGACUGAGAACCUCCAUCAGCUCUGUCUCCUGUCUGCCUAAAAUUAUUAUAAUAAAUAUUGUGUUUGACAAGUUUUUUGUGCUGCCAAAUAUCUCAUUUUGAUUCCAGUUUUGAUAUUUUAAUGGAUAUUUAUAAAUGACAUUGAUUAUCACAUUUUUGUU